rnacentral:rRNA from 1 species
UUGUUGGCGGGGUAACGGCCCACCAAGGCUACGAUCAGUAGGGGUUCUGAGAGGAAGGUCCCCCACAUUGGAACUGAGACACGGUCCAAACUCCUACGGGAGGCAGCAGUGAGGAAUAUUGGUCAAUGGGCGAGAGCCUGAACCAGCCAAGUAGCGUGCAGGAUGACGGCCCUAUGGGUUGUAAACUGCUUUUAUGCGGGGAUAAAGUGCGUGACGUGUCACGCAUUGCAGGUACCGCAUGAAUAAGGACCGGCUAAUUCCGUGCCAGCAGCCGCGGUAAUACGGAAGGUCCGGGCGUUAUCCGGAUUUAUUGGGUUUAAAGGGAGCGUAGGCCGCCAGGUAAGCGUGUUGUGAAAUGUACCGGCUCAACCGGUGAAUUGCAGCGCGAACUGUCUGGCUUGAGUGCACGGUAAGCAGGCGGAAUUCAUGGUGUAGCGGUGAAAUGCUUAGAUAUCAUGAAGAACUCC